UACGUAGGGUGCAAGCGUUAAUCGGAAUUACUGGGCGUAAAGCGUGCGCAGGCGGUCGUGCAAGACAGAUGUGAAAUCCCCGGGCUUAACCUGGGAACUGCAUUUGUGACUGCAUCGCUGGAGUGCGGCAGAGGGGGAUGGAAUUCCGCGUGUAGCAGUGAAAUGCGUAGAUAUGCGGAGGAACACCGAUGGCGAAGGCAAUCCCCUGGGCCUGCACUGACGCUCAUGCACGAAAGCGUGGGGAGCAAACAGG
rnacentral:rRNA from 1 species